AUUGAACGCUGGCGGCAGGCCUAACACAUGCAAGUCGAACGAGUGGCGGACGGGUGAGUAAUGCUUGGGAAACUGGCCGAUGGAGGGGGAUAACCACUGGAAACGGUAGCUUAUACCGCAUACCAUCGGACUUGACCAGAUGUGAUUAGCUAGUAGGUGGGUUAACGGCUCACCUAGGCGACUAUCCCUAGCUGGUCUGAGAGGAUGACCGACCACCCUGGAACUGAUAAACGGUCCAGACUCCUACGGGAGGAAGCAGUGGGGAAUAUUGCACAAUGGGCGCAAGCCUGAUGCAGCCAUGCCGCGUGUAUGAAGAAGGCCUUCGGGUUGUAAAGUACUUUCAGCGGGGAGGCGUUACUGGCAGAAGAAGCACCGGCUAACUCCGUGCCAGCAGCCGCGGUAAUUC
rnacentral:rRNA from 1 species